UGAAAUGUUAAUCAGUAUAAUUCAGGAAUCAGUUUGCAUGGAGUUUAGAAACAUCCAGGAUUUACUAGCUAAAGUGUUGAAAAGCUCUGAAGAGUAUUUCUGUUUUCAUGGAAACUAUACCUUUUACAUGUAAAAAAUGUUCAUAAGCCUCUAUUUGAUUAACAGCAUUGUUAUUUCUUUGUCCAGUAGAAUCAACCGUAUCUGAAGAGAGAGCUGAGGAAAUUAAACAAUGACUGAGAAACAACACACAGCCCAUCAGCCAGGUGGAACAGUACAUGCGAAAAAUAUGUUUGAGGUCCUCCAUGAGUUUCCUCGGCUAACUACCCCAGGCAUGAUUGCACAGGACUUUCACAUUUUACUUCAAGAUGCAGCCCCAAAACUGUUUGAAAAAUGGCUGGUAUACUGACAGGAUCUUGCUUUUUGCGAAGCGAGAAGCAAAGCUUCCAUGUACAUCUGAAGAAAUGACAGAAGUGGAUCAACAGCAGAACUUUACACUUCAGUCUACACUUUUAUGGGAUUUUGGACUCAUGCUAAUUUGACCUGUUUAGUAAAUCUGGCCCUAUAUUUUCAAUGACAACUCGCUACUGUUUUUAGUAGUGUUGAUGAAUGUAAUAUUAUUUU